UUUCUAGUUUAGAUUUCAUUCAUACUUAAGCGUGCGUUCUUUUUCCCAUAUAAAUAUAGGAUUAAACUGUACGCUUUCGAGUUCAGUUUCUAGCAAACCAGUGACCUUAUCAGUCAAGUUAGAGUUUGCACGUUGCUUUCUUCCCAUCUGCCCUACCAUAUAAAAGACACUUAUGUCUGCUUCUUAAACCUUAAGAAUCACGGAUACGGACACGCAUGACACGGACAUGACAUGACACGGACACGGUGACACGUUAUUUCCUAGAAAAUUUGGGAUGCGGAUAUGACAAAGACACGUUUGUUAAAAAAUACAAUUUUUAAGAUGAAAAUUCAAAGUCAAUAAAAUUAUGCAUUUUUAUGCUUAAAAAAAUGAAUUUAAUGUAUGUUUGCUCUCAAAAUUUAUUGUUUUGYCCUAUAUUACUAUUUAUGUCUAUUUCUUAUGCUUAACAAGUGCGUGAAAUGUACCUAACAAGUGUCCGGCCCAUAUUUAUUUUGUACCACUAGUGUGUGACACACAUGUAUUGAGCUAACAAAUGUCCGAAACAUGAAUCAGUGUCUUUGCUCAAAUUGUAGUGUCUGUGCUUCUUAGCAUCUUUAAACUGUCGAUGAUAUAAUCAUUUCUAUUGAAAAUGAGGGAAAAAGUUCUUAUCUGAGAAGAGGAAUGAGGAAGAAGUGAAUGAAACYAGAUGCCAAUUUCUUCAAGCAACUAUUAGAUCCCCAUUUUCUUAGCUGCUGAUAUUUACUCGUUCAUCCUCUAAAAUCUUAACAUUCUGCUUUUCCAUCCUUGAAAGAAUCUUAAUUCUGAAGCCGAUGCUCAAGCAAACUUGGCUAUCACUCUUGCUGAUGGCGAAGUCCUGGAGUAUGAAGAAUAGUUAGAAUGCACGGCAGAAUAUAUCUUACACAUUAGCACAUUUUUCUGACGAAUGCAUAUUUAUACGCCAAUCCGUUGUAUGCUACUAUUCCUUUCCCAAGGUUGUCGAGAUCUUUGGGUGUUGACCGUAACUCGUCCAACUGGAAUUCAAGUUGUGACCUUGCUGCAAUGCAGAAGUGCAGUUUACUGCAUAUCUGAGAUAAAAACUCUUCUGGUUGUUGUGUGAUUCAAUUUCAAUUGAAAGAUUAUCACUGAAAUGUUGUAUUAAUUUUGUUUACAUAUUGAAAAAAUAGUAGUCUUUGAGCAGAUAUGCUUUGUAUUCUUUGUGGAACCUGUGGAAGAAGCACAGUUCAAUACCAAUUUUGGGAAGGCUUUAGGAAAGUGAGUUCAAAGUUCAUUUGAGGAUGAGUUUUUAGGAAAUGUGUAAUAAUGUUGUCGCAUACUCAUGAAAUUUAAUUCCUUUUAUAGUUUGAGUAUUAAAUUUAAAUUAUUUGAUACA